rnacentral:rRNA from 1 species
UACGUAGGGUGCGAGCGUUGUCCGGAAUUACUGGGCGUAAAGAGCUCGUAGGUGGUUUGUCGCGUUGUUCGUGAAAACUCACAGCUCAACUGUGGGCGUGCGGGCGAUACGGGCAGACUGGAGUACUGCAGGGGAGACUGGAAUUCCUGGUGUAGCGGUGGAAUGCGCAGAUAUCAGGAAGAACACCCGUGGCGAAGGCGGUUCUCUGGGACGGUACUGACGCUGAGACGCGAAAGCGUGGGGAGCGAACAGG